rnacentral:tRNA from 1 species
GUAAAAUGGCUGAAGUUUAGGCAGUAAAUUGUAAAUUUAUUAAUGAAUUUAAUUCUUUUACC